UAUAAAGUCCAACUGAAAGAAAAGAAAGUCCAACUGAAAGAAAAGAAAGUCCAACUGAAAGAAAACAAAGUCCAACUGAAAGAAAAGAAAGGUCUAACUGAAAGAAAAAAAAGUCUAACUGAAAGAAAAGAAAGUCCAACUGAAAGAAAAUAAAGACCAACUAAAAAGAAAACAAAACACUAACCUCUGCUUUCUCUCACUUUUCAGGUUGUCUCCAUUUUUUUUCAGGUUGUCUCCAUUUGUUUUCAGGUAGUCUCCAAUAUCUUUCAGUUCCAUGAACUCUUCAACCAAAUAUCACCACAAACUUUUGAACGAUUCUUUUUAUUACUUGCUUUUUAUCCUUUUUGUCGAAUAUUGUGAUCUUAGUACUAAAGGAAAACAUACAUAUUUGGGGCCAUAAUGAACCUUCUUCAACCUCAAUCCUCAUUCUUUCCUCCCUUUUCUCUCUCCUCUGACUUCGAAAAUCAACCCUCUUUAGUAUCUCAAUCUCAUCAAUGGACAUCACAGAAAUAUCAAAGAAGCUCGGCCUCGCCGAUAAUAAACCCGUCAUCCGUAAAGCGGUGGAGUUUCGCCGUCUCUCCGAUGUCAAAUUCGACUCAUCCGCCAUUGGAGUUGAAUAAUGAUGGAAACUUCCUCUCCAUUGGGAAUGUGAAGAGGACUCUGGACUGAAAUUGAAGACAUUAAGACUUAAAAUCAAGCUAAGGGAAGACUAGCUAGAACUUGUUUCUAUUUAUUUUGUAAUUAAGAAACAUAAACUUGAUUUUGUGUAUUUUAUAGUCAAUGUAUUCGGCUACUCCGUGUAAGAACCAUGUUUAGAAAAUGUUGGUUCAUCAUUGAAUUCAA